AGUCUGAAUAAUACUGACAACUAUGGUGUAGAAUUUCCAACAGGACUCCUUAUUUUAUAUAAGACAAGGAGUGGUUUAUUUUCCCAUGGUUGUUACAUCAUCUUGUCUUUGAAUAUGCUCGAAGUACAGGGACUUUUAUGGAAUUCAUUGACAUGAUAGUCAAGCAAGAUGUCAACAUCUCGUCCAACCCUCUUCCAGCAAAGCCAAAGCUGACCAAGGAUCUUCACCCUUUCAAAACAGGCUGUAUACAGGACGAGUUAUUCCAGUAGGAACAGGGCUAUAUAUAUGCAAGCAAUGCUCAAUUAAGAUGAAUUUUUGUAAAAGUGACAAUAGCCAGGUCAUACUAAAUACAUGUAUACAAGAAGAUAUUGAUCUAGACUCGCAGCUAACCUUUCUUUCAGUGUCAACAACAACUGAACUUUCACAGCAGUCAACAUCAGAUUGGGAGACUGAUAAUGCUUCUAACAGAAACAAUUUCAACCAACCAAACAAGCAACAGAAACUUUCCAGCUUUAAAACAUCAGUUAAAUCUUCCAUGGGA